CAGAUUUCGGCAGCAACAUUGGCCUAUUCUUGCACCUAGCGUCUUCAGAUGAUGACACAAACAUCGGAGUUGCAGAUAUUGCUUCUGAAUGCGUCGUGUUGCUACUUAAAGCGGCAUCGAGAGAAGCUACGACGGGAUUUUUAACCAAUCUUCCGAAGAUCACACAGAUUCUUGACUCGUGGAACAGGAGGAAGAGUACGGAGCAACACUCGUUGGUUCUGAAAAGGAUAUUGCAUUGUUUAGGUUACGCUUGCAAGCAGUAUCUAUCGCAGGCGAUGAUUUUGUCGAUAUCAGGACAUGAUGUCUCUAAGAUCAACGCCAUUGUCUCUGAGAUCAAGAACUCAGACGUGGCUGGUCUUAAUAGCGUCGCUUCCCUCGUCGCUAUGGAGUUGCAGAGAUUACCUCGUUGAACAAAAGGAUUAACGGACAAUGACGCUGUAGAAUUUCAAUAUGUACGAGGUAAACAAAAUCAAAACCAUGUGACAUUGAGAAUCAAGAUCUAUUUGUCUCUUUGUAAUGUGUAUAUUUCUCUUAAUUACAAUUUUUGUACCACUACAAAACUACUUCCUUAAUAUUAUCUUCUUUUAGAUUUACACA